UGCGUAGGCGGUUAAAUAAGUCAGAGGUAAAAGCCCGCAGCUCAACUGUGGAAUUGCCUUUGAUACUGUAUAACUUGAAUCAGGUUGAGGUUGGCGGAAUGUGACAUGUAGCGGUGAAAUGCAUAGAUAUGUCAUAGAACACCAAUUGCGAAGGCAGCUAACUAGACCUGUAUUGACGCUGAGGCACGAAAGCGUGGGGAGCGAACAGGAUUAGAUACCCUGGUAGUCC
rnacentral:rRNA from 1 species